rnacentral:rRNA from 1 species
GAUGAACGCUGGCGGCGUGCCUAGUACAUGCAAGUCGAGCGAACGGACGAGAAGCUUGCUUCUCUGAUGUUAGCGGCGGACGGGCGAGUAACACGUGGAUAACCUACCUAUAAGACUGGGAUAACUUCGGGAAACCGGAGCUAAUACCGGAUAAUAUUUUGAACCGCAUGGUUCAAAAGUGAAAGACGGUCUUGCUGUCACUUAUAGAUGGAUCCGCGCUGCAUUAGCUAGUUGGUAAGGUAACGGCUUACCAAGGCAACGAUGCAUAGCCGACCUGAGAGGGUGAUCGGCCACACUGGAACUGAGACACGGUCCAGACUCCUACGGGAGGCAGCGGUAGGGAAUCUUCCGCAAUGGGCGAAAGCCUGACGGAGCAACGCCGCGUGAGUGAUGAAGGUCUUCGGAUCGUAAAACUCUGUUAUUAGGGAAGAACAUAUGUGUAAGUAACUGUGCACAUCUUGACGGUACCUAAUCAGAAAGCCACGGCUAACUACGUG